AAUCAACGCUGGCGGCGUGCCUCAGACAUGCAAGUCGAACGCGAAAGGUUCCUUCGGGAGCCGAGUAGAGUGGCGCUCGGGUGAGUAACACGUUGGUAAUUUGCCUUUGGGUGGGGAAUAACAAUCGGAAACGGGUUAGCUAAUACCGCAUAAUGCAGCGGCUCGACAUCGAGACAGUUGUUAAAGCGGGGGAUCCUUCGGGACCUCGCGCCUAAAGAGAAGCCUGCGGCGGAUUAGCAGUUGGUGAGGUAAUGGCUCACCAAGGCGACGAUCCGUGACCGGCCUGAGAGGGCGGACGGUCACACUGACACUUAAAUACGGGUCAGACUCCUACGGGAGGCAGCAGUCGGGAAUUUU
rnacentral:rRNA from 1 species